CGGUGCUUGUUGACGCACUGAGCUGACGCGAAAAACGGGUCAGGAUGUUACUCUCGGCUUCAUGUAGGCAGACGAAGCAGGGAAUAUUACCUUAUUUUCAAAUAUGGAAACGAUGUUUCAGCGUCAGUUCAUUAAGAUCUGGCGAUGGGCUAACGUUUGCCAAGCCUUUCAGCGAAGUUCCAAGAAUUCCAGCUCUGCCAAUUGUGGGAAGUUCCUGGAUAUAUCUUCCUAUUCUUGGUGAUACAAUAUACGGAGGCAGAA
rnacentral:lncRNA from 1 species